AGGUAUUGAAAUAAGGCUUUAAAUGAGUGCUAAGAGAAUGGUUUAACAAUUAUAAGCUUUCUUUAAUUAAAAAAUUAAAUUUAAUUUUUUUGUGAAGAAGCAAAAAUUUAAAUUAGGGACAAGAAGACCCUAUGAAUUUUAUAUUAAAUAAUAUAAUUUAAUUAAAUUAUAUUAUUUGAAUUAAUUGGGGUGAUUUAAAAAGAAUAUAUAUCUUUUUAAAAAGUUAAUUUGUUCCGUUUUUAACGAUUUUAUGAAAAAAAUACUCUAGGGAUAACAGCGUAAUAAUUUUGGAUAGUUCAUAUAGAUAAAAUAGUUUGCGACCUCGAUGUUGGAUUAGGAUUCUUUUUUAAUGAAGAAAUUAAAAAGAAGAAGUUUGUUCAACUUUUAAAUUCCUACUUGAUC
rnacentral:rRNA from 1 species